AUUGAACGCUGGCGGCAGGCCUAACACAUGCAAGUCGAACGAGUGGCGGACGGGUGAGUAAUGUCUGGGAAACUGCCUGAUGGAGGGGGAUAACUACUGGAAACGGUAGCUAAUACCGCAUACCAUCGGAUGUGCCCAGAUGGGAUUAGCUAGUAGGUGGGGUAAAGGCUCACCUAGGCGACGAUCCCUAGCUGGUCUGAGAGGAUGACGAGCCACAAUGGAACUGAGACACGGGCCAGACUCCGAUGGGAGGCAGCAGUGGGGAAUAUUGCACAAUGGGCGAAAGCCGGAUGCAGGCAUUCCGCGUGUAUGAGGAAGGCCUUAGCGUUGUAAAGUACUUUCAGCGGGGAGGCGUUACCCGCAGAAGAAUCACCGGCUAACUCCGUGCCAGCAGCCGCGGUAAUAC
rnacentral:rRNA from 1 species